rnacentral:piRNA from 1 species
UAGUAUCUGAACAGUUAAAUAAUACAGGA